AACGAACGCUGGCGGCAUGCCUAACACAUGCAAGUCGAACGAGACCUUCGGGUCUAGUGGCGCACGGGUGCGUAACGCGUGGGAACCUGCCCUUAGGUUCGGAAUAACUCCCCGAAAGGGGUGCUAAUACCGGAUAAUGUCUUCGGACCAAAGAUUUAUCGCCUUUGGAUGGGCCCGCGUUGGAUUAGCUAGUUGGUAGGGUAAAAGCCUACCAAGGCGACGAUCCAUAGCUGGUUUGAGAGGAUGAUCAGCCACACUGGGACUGAGACACGGCCCAGACUCCUACGAGAGGCAGCAGUGGGGAAUAUUGGACAAUGGGCGAGAGCCUGAUCCAGCAAUGCCGCGUGAGUGAUGAAGGCCUUAGGGUUGUAAAGCUCUUUUACCCGGGAUGAUAAUGACAGUACCGGGAGAAUAAGCUCCGGCUAACUCCGUG
rnacentral:rRNA from 1 species